rnacentral:rRNA from 1 species
UGGACCUGAGCUCAGGCAAGACUACCCGCUGAACUUAAGCAUAUCAAUAAGCGGAGGA